UACGUAGGUGGCAAGCGUUGUCCGGAAUUAUUGGGCGUAAAGCGCGCGCAGGUGGUUCCUUAAGUCUGAUGUGAAAGCCCACGGCUCAACCGUGGAGGGUCAUUGGAAACUGGGGAACUUGAGUGCAGAAGAGGAAAGUGGAAUUCCAAGUGUAGCGGUGAAAUGCGUAGAGAUUUGGAAGGAACACCAGUGGCGAAGGCGACUUUCUGGUCUGUAACUGACACUGAGGCGCGAAAGCGUGGGGAGCAAACAGGG
rnacentral:rRNA from 1 species